UACGGAAGGUCCGGGCGUUAUCCGGAUUUAUUGGGUUUAAAGGGAGUGUAGGCGGCCUGUUAAGCGUGUUGUGAAAUGUAGAUGCUCAACAUCUGAACUGCAGCGCGAACUGGCUGGCUUGAGUACACGCAACGUGGGCGGAAUUCAUGGUGUAGCGGUGAAAUGCUUAGAUAUCAUGAGGAACUCCAAUUGCGAAGGCAGCUCACGGGAGUGUCACUGACGCUUAAGCUCGAAGGUGCGGGUAUCAAACAGG
rnacentral:rRNA from 1 species